GGCCCGACUAUGGCUGCCGACCGUCGGCUAUGAUAGUCGGCCCAACUAUGGCAGCCUUGGUCGGCCCGACUAUGGCUGCCGAUGGUCGGGCCAACUAGCGAAUUGAUAACGUCGGCCGACCUAUGGUCGACUAAGUCGGGCCAACUAUGGGUACCAUAGUUGGGCCGACCUUGGCUGCCGACCAUCCAACUUGACGGUCGGCAGCCAUAGUCGGCCCGACUAUGGCUGCCAUGGUUGGGCCAACCUUGGCAGCUAAAAUUUUGCCGACCAUAAACAUUAAAAUAUAAAAAUUUGUUAUACAAAUAACAUAUAUUAGUAAUCAUUUUAAAUUCAUUAUACAUUUAUUUUAUAUACUUAAACACUAAACGCAAUCGUAAACAUACAUAUAUACAAAUUAAAAUUUUUAACGCUCGCAGGGAUCGAACUCGCAACCUAACGCACCGCAGUCUAAUACGCUAACCACUACACUACGCAAUGACAUAUGAGUCACGGAGAAAAAUAAAUGUUAUAAGCUACAGCUUGAAAAAAAUUAAAGUUAGUAAUUCAAAAUAAUAAAUUAAUCACAUAUAACCUUUUUUCUUUUUAAAUUAAUCAAUUACAAGUAAAUUAACAAAAACAUUUUACAUUUGUCAAUGGUAGGAGAGAAAUUUACUUUAUGAUGGUCGGCCCAACUAUGGCAGCCAAGGUUGGACCGACCUUGGCUGCCAAGGUCGUACCGACCAUUGUCCCCCAUGGUCGGCCCAACUAUGGCAGCCAAGGUUGGCCCAACUAUGGCUGCCAAGGUUGUGCCAACCAUUUUCCCCUUAGUCGGCCCAACUGUGGCUGCCAUAGUUGGACCGACUAUGGGGAAGAAUGGUUGGCCCAACUAUGGCUGCCAAGGUUGUGCCGACCAUAAUCCCCCAUAGUCGGCCCAACUAUGGCUGCAAUGGUCGGCCCAACUGUGACUGCCGACGUCGGCAGCCAUAGUCGGCCCAACUUUGGGUGCAAAUAUUUACCAUGGUCGGCCCAACUCUGGCUGCCGACCGGUCGGCAGCCAGAGUUGGGCCGACCAUGGGCCGACGAACCAACUCUGGCGGCCGACCGAAAUUCGCACCUGGGUAAAAGGUAGAGUUACAUUCAGCUUACGAGUAUAACUAUUUUGAACGUCGACUCAUCAUUUUACAGCUAGGUUAUUCGAGUUGCCUAAGCUAAGGCAGAAGUUCUGAAAUUUCGUGUAAACUACUGUUUUCUCGGCUUUAUUGUUAAAUGAUGCUUUCAGUUUAGAUGUAUAGUAGGAUUAAUAAUUCACUUUAUAAUUAUUUAUUUAUUAAUAAAUUAAUAAUUCGAGUGAAAAUUCUAAUUUAGUUAAAAAGAAAUUAAAAAUUUAGAAACUAUAAUUAAUUAAAUUUUUCAAAAGCUUGAAUAAACUUUUUUCAAUUUAA